CGGCGGACGGGUGAGUAACGCGUGGGUAACCUACCCUGUACACACGGAUAACAUACCGAAAGGUAUGCUAAUACGGGAUAAUAUAUUUGAGAGGCAUCUCUUGAAUAUCAAAGGUGAGCCAGUACAGGAUGGACCCGCGUCUGAUUAGCUAGUUGGUAAGGUAACGGCUUACCAAGGCGACGAUCAGUAGCCGACCUGAGAGGGUGAUCGGCCACAUUGGAACUGAGACACGGUCCAA
rnacentral:rRNA from 1 species